rnacentral:rRNA from 1 species
GACGAACGCUGGCGGCGUGCCUAACACAUGCAAGUCGAGCGAGAGACUUCGGUCUCUAGCGGCGGACGGGUGAGUAACACGUGGGUAACCUGCCUCAUAGUGGGGGAUAGCCUUCCGAAAGGAAGAUUAAUACCGCAUAUACUCUCGAUACCACAUGGUAUUUAGAGGAAAGGAGCAAUUCGCUAUGAGAUGGACCCGCGGCGCAUUAGCUAGUUGGUGAGGUAACGGCUCACCAAGGCGACGAUGCGUAGCCGACCUGAGAGGGUGAUCGGCGACAUUGGACAUGAGACACGGUCCAGACUCCUACGGGAGGCAGCAGUGGGGAAUAUUGCACAAUGGGCGAAAGCCUGAUGCAGCAACGCCGCGUGAGUGAUGACGGCCUUCGGGUUGUAAAGCUCUGUCUUUUGGGACGAUAAUGACGGUACCAAAGGAGGAAGCCACGGCUAACUACGUGCCAGCCGCCGCGAUAA